UACGGGGGGAGCAAGCGUUGUUCGGAUUUACUGGGCGUAAAGGGCGGGUAGGCGGCCACCGCAAGUCAGUUGUGAAAUCUCUGGGCUUAACCCAGAAAGGUCAACUGAUACUGCGGGGCUAGAGUGCAGAAGGGGCAACUGGAAUUCUCGGUGUAGCGGUGAAAUGCGUAGAUAUGGGGAGGAACACCGGUGGCGAAGGCGGCCACCUGGACGGUAACUGACGCUGAGGCGCGAAAGCGUGGGGAGCAAACAGG
rnacentral:rRNA from 1 species